AUCAUGAUUUACAUUUGAGUGAGUGGCGAACUGGUGAGUAACACGUGGGAAACCUGCCCAGAAGCGGGGGAUAACACCUGGAAACAGAUGCUAAUACCGCAUAACAACUUGGACCGCAUGGUCCGAGCUUGAAAGAUGGCUUCGGCUAUCACUUUUGGAUGGUCCCGCGGCGUAUUAGCUAGAUGGUGGGGUAACGGCUCACCAUGGCAAUGAUACGUAGCCGACCUGAGAGGGUAAUCGGCCACAUUGGGACUGAGACACGGCCCAAACUCCUACGGGAGGCAGCAGUAGGGAAUCUUCCACAAUGGACGAAAGUCUGAUGGAGCAACGCCGCGUGAGUGAAGAAGGGUUUCGGCUCGUAAAACUCUGUUGUUAAAGAAGAACAUAUCUGAGAGUAACUGUUCAGGUAUUGACGGUAUUUAACCAGAAAGCCACGGCUAACUACGUAGCCAGCAGCCGCGGUAAUACGUAGGUGGCAAGCGUUGUCCGGAUUUAUUGGGCGUAAAGCGAGCGCAGGCGGUUUUUUAAGUCUGAUGUGAAAGCCUUCGGCUCAACCGAAGAAGUGCAUCGGAAACUGGGAAACUUGAGUGCAGAAGAGGACAGUGGAACUCCAUGUGUAGCGGUGAAAUGCGUAGAUAUAUGGAAGAACACCAGUGGCGAAGGCGGCUGUCUGGUCUGUAACUGACGCUGAGGCUCGAAAGUAUGGGUAGCAAACAGGAUUAGAUACCCUGGUAGUCCAUACCGUAAACGAUGAAUGCUAAGUGUUGGAGGGUUUCCGCCCUUCAGUGCUGCAGCUAACGCAUUAAGCAUUCCGCCUGGGGAGUACGGCCGCAAGGCUGAAACUCAAAGGAAUUGACGGGGGCCCGCACAAGCGGUGGAGCAUGUGGUUUAAUUCGAAGCUACGCGAAGAACCUUACCAGGUCUUGACAUACUAUGCAAAUCUAAGAGAUUAGACGUUCCCUUCGGGGACAUGGAUACAGGUGGUGCAUGGUUGUCGUCAGCUCGUGUCGUGAGAUGUUGGGUUAAGUCCCGCAACGAGCGCAACCCUUAUUAUCAGUUGCCAGCAUUAAGUUGGGCACUCUGGUGAGACUGCCGGUGACAAACCGGAGGAAGGUGGGGAUGACGUCAAAUCAUCAUGCCCCUUAUGACCUGGGCUACACACGUGCUACAAUGGAUGGUACAACGAGUUGCGAACUCGCGAGAGUAAGCUAAUCUCUUAAAGCCAUUCUCAGUUCGGAUUGUAGGCUGCAACUCGCCUACAUGAAGUCGGAAUCGCUAGUAAUCGCGGAUCAGCAUGCC
rnacentral:rRNA from 1 species